GUGCCAGCCGCCGCGGUAAUACGUAGGGGGCGAGCGUUGUCCGGAUUUAUUGGGCGUAAAGAGCUCGUAGGCGGUUCAACAAGUCGGUCGUGAAAGUUCAGGGCUCAACCCUGAAAUGUCGAUCGAUACUGUUGUGACUAGGAUACGGUAGAGGUGAGUGGAAUUCCGAGUGUAGCGGUGAAAUGCGUAGAUAUUCGGAGGAACACCAAUUGCGAAGGCAGCUCACUAGGCCUGGAUUGACGCUCAGGGACGAAAGCGUGGGGAUCAAACAGGAUUAGAUA
rnacentral:rRNA from 1 species